rnacentral:lncRNA from 1 species
UUGAACAAGUGACACAUUCUCUAGGUCCCAGAUUUUACACUUAUAGCAUAGGGCAGGCAUCCCCAACCCUUGAGCUGUGGACAGGUACUGGUCCAUGGCGGUUAGGAAUCAAGCCGCACAGCAAAAGGUAAGUGGCAGGACUAGGGCGUGAAGCUUCAUCUGCUGCUCCUCAGUGUGCCUGCCUCGUCGUUUGCAUUACUGCCUGAACCACCCUCCACCCUGUCCGUGGAAAAAUUCUGAAAAACAGUUCUCUGGUGCAAAAAAUGUUGGGGACCACUGGUGUAGAGAACUGAGUUAAAUGAGAUAACUCAUGUGAACAUGGUCCACACCCAAUCGGUAUGCGAGAAACAUCUGUGGAACCGUAGUCUGGCAUGAGUAAUGAAGUGACGAGGCCAGUGUUUUGUGACGCCAAACUCUUUGAUUCCUUUGCCACUCCAUCCCCCAUCCCAGAGGUCUCGCAUGUAGUAGGUGCUCUGGGCCCAGCAGGAUGAGACAGGAUGGGACGUGUGCCGGCCACACGUGUCCAGCCAAGCAGGCCGACCCCGGAGGCGAGGACGAGAACAUGCUGAGGUAGGGCGAAGGCCGGGGCCGGAGACACGCCUGAUAAGAAGUCGCACCUCAUCAGCCCAGUAAACCUCAGCAAGGCCUUGCUAAGGAGCUUAAGGAAUUGAGGGC